rnacentral:rRNA from 1 species
GUCAUGCCAAUGGCACUGCCCGGUAGCUAAAUGCGGAAGAGAUAAGUGCUGAAAGCAUCUAAGCACGAAACUUGCCCCGAGAUGAGUUCUCCCUGACCCUUUAAGGGUCCUGAAGGAACGUUGAAGACGACGACGUUGAUAGGCCGGGUGUGUAAGCGCAGCGAUGCGUUGAGCUAACCGGUACUAAUGAACCGUGAGGCUUAACCUUACAACGCCGAAGCUGUU